CGCCCUUAGGGUUUGAUCAUGGCUCAGAACGAACGCUGGCGGCAAGCUUUACACAUGCAAGUCGAACGUGGCGUCGCGGCUUGCCGUGACGCCAAGUGGCAAACGGGUGAGUAAUGCAUAGGAAUCUACCUAAUAGUGGGGGAUAACUAUCGGAAACGAUGGCUAAUACCGCAUAAUCCCGCAAGGGCAAAGAUUUAUCGCUAAUAGAUGAGCCUAUGUUAGAUUAGCUAGUCGGUGGGGUAACGGCCUACCGAGGCUUAGAUCUAUAGCUGGUCUGAGAGGAUGAUCAGCCACACUGGAACUGAGAUACGGUCCAGACUCCUACGGGAGGCAGCAGUGGGGAAUAUUGGACAAUGGGCUAAAGCCUGAUCCAGCUAUGCCGCGUGAGCGAUGAAGGCCUUAGGGUUGUAAAGCUCUUUCAGCAAGGAAGAUAAUGACUGUACUUGCAGAAGAAGUCCCGGCUAACUCCGUGCCAGCAGCCGCGGUAAUACGGAGGGGGCUAGCGUUGUUCGGAAUUACUGGGCGUAAAGGGCGCGUAGGCGGCAUGCUAAGUCGGUAGUGAAAUCCCAGGGCUUAACCCUGGAACUACUGCUGAAACUGGUGUGCUGGAGUGCGAGAGGGGAUAGUGGAAUUCCUAGUGUAGAGGUGAAAUUCGUAAAUAUUAGGAGGAACACCGGAGGCGAAGGCGGCUAUCUGGAUCGUUACUGACGCUGAGGCGCGAAAGCGUGGGGAGCAAACCGGAUUAGAUACCCUGGUAGUCCACGCCCUAAACGAUGAGUGCUAGAUAUCGGGGAAACUCUGUGUCGUAGCUAACGCAUUAAGCACUCCGCCUGGGUAGUACGGUCGCAAGAUUGAAACUCAAAGGAAUUGACGGGGACUCGCACAAGCGGUGGAGCAUGUGGUUUAAUUCGAUGCAACGCGAAAAACCUUACCACUCCUUAACAUGGGAAUUUUGGAUUUCGUAACGGAAAUUCUUCAUUUCGGGUGGGUUCCGCAUAGGUGCUGCAUGGCUGUCGUCAGCUCGUGUCGUGAGAUGUUGGGUUAAGUCCCGCAACGAGCGCAACCCUCGCCCUUAGUUACCAGCGAGUAAAGUCGGGAACUCUAGGGGAACUGCCAAUGAUAAAGUGGAGGAAGGUGGGGAUAACGUCAAGUCAUCAUGGCCCUUAUGGGGUGGGCUACACACGUGCUACAAUGGCGAUCACAAAGAGUUGCGAUGUCGCAAGGCGGAGCUAAUCUUCAAAAGUCGUCUCAGUUCGGAUUGUCCUCUGAAACUCGAGGGCAUGAAGUUGGAAUCGCUAGUAGUCGUGGAUCAGCGUGCCACGGUGAAUACGUUCUCGGGUCUUGUACACACCGCCCGUCACGCCAUGGGAGCUGGUUUCACUCGAAGGAGGUGCACCAACCGUAAGGAGGAAGCUUUCUAAAGUGGGAUUAGUGACUGGGGUGAAGUCGUAACAAGGUAGCCGUAAAGGGCG
rnacentral:rRNA from 1 species